rnacentral:misc_RNA from 1 species
GAAAUGCGAUAAGUAAUGUGAAUUGCAGAGUUUUGUGAAUCAUCGAAUCUUUGAACGCACAUUGCGCCCCUCGGUAUUCCGACGGGCAUGCCUGUCCGAGCGUCGUUUGCAACCCAUCGAGUAACACUUCUCGGUCUUGGGCGCCGUCCGCCCCCUCUGGGGGAUCGGACGGGCCCCAAAGCCCUCGGCGGCCCCGGGUGCCCGCUGGAGCGUCUUCGAAAGCAAUCGCUCCGGUGCGCGCGCCCCGGGACCACGCCGGCACCGCGGCCUCCCCGGCCGCACCCCACACCAAACGUCUGACCUCGGAUCAGGUAGGGCUACCCGCUGAACUUAA